GUGUUUGUGAGUGUAGGUCCAGACUCCAGCCAGGAUCAAGGGUAGAGCUGGAAACUUGGGAGAAACAAAGUUCUUGUGAAAUUUUCAGACAAAUUUUGGAAGCCCACACAGCCUACACUGGUUGGACAAGCUUCAAAAUAAGUACAUGCUUCUCAAAGCUUUGAUGCAUCCGGACCUUUUGGGAUUUCUGCCAUUGAAGGUCAGCUUAGCUGCGCCCACACCACCACUCAAAGCAGGGAGGAGAGCCUAGGGCCAGACCAACUCGGAGACGUUGCAUCAGCACGGCAGGUCAAGUGAACACCAAACCUGCAGCAAGAACAGAGCUGCAUCCUUAGACUCCCUCCUUUCCAGAAAAUUAAGUGAGGUCACUCAGAAAGCAGAGAAAGAAGAGGGGAUGUAGACUGUACCCCAUCCUACACAUCACAGUGAUUUAUACUAAAAUUAAUGGCACUCAGCUGCUCUCCAGCUCCUUUCCCACAGCACCAGGAAUGUCGCGCACUGAGAAAACCUGCACCCCUGAAAGCAGCACAUCUUUCACAAUAAGAGAAUACUGAAUACUUGCAGGCAAACACCGGACACCAGGCAGUCCCUCCCACAGCACCAAAGACUAUUUGACACUGCUGCAAAGGAGGACAUUGAAAUGUGCACUCAUCAAUGAUGACUUUUAAAGGAAACAAUAACAACACCUUUCUGACCUCAAAUUUUCUAUUGGAGGAUGAAAGCCCCACUGAAAAUUCUUGCUGAAGAGGUCAGAGCUUCCGGACCUGGAGCCUGAGGGACAUCCUGGGGGCUCCCACUGAAGGCAUCUCCCAUCAAAAGGGCCAUAGAGAUGGCAUGGGCAGGGUGAAGCAUAUCCCCACCCAAUCUCUUGGGUUACCUCAUGGUAAACACUCUCACCCCUUUCCUUCCCCUCUAGCCAGCACUGGCCUGCACAGUGGGCAUUUGCAUGCUACUUAGCCAUUUUUAAUUAGAUCCUGAAAAUUCUUAUAUUAUGUUGUACCUUUCCACCCUGGGUCCUCACUGACUAUGGCCACUUGUGACAUUCUUAGCCACUUGCUUUCAUUCUUAGCACAGACAUGAAAACAGAUUUCUGUGUUCUUUGGACAAGUUAUUAGGCUUACAAUUAGUAAAGAGAACAAUGUCAGGCUCUGUGUAAAAGUUACAAGUGUGAAAUCGAGUUCUGCCAGUAAAUUGCUACCUUUUCUUUAGCAUUGCAAGCCACGCUCUCCAGUUUAUUUGAACACAUAAAAUAUGCUAAAUGUUUAGCAGCACCACUGUGUAAAGAAGAGUUGGAUGAAGUAUAUAUUUUUAAAUACAGUGAGUAAUAAAAUGUUGAGUAAAUUCCCAAGAAUAUCAUUUUGGGGCAAGUACAAUAGAAUGCUUAAUGGCAUAUAUUCCCAGGUCUGCUGUUUUUAUUCCUCCUUUUCUCCCGCUUUAAUCUCCUCACCCAGACAGUGGUUGUUGUUAUGGGAGCUGCUAGAAAGGGCUUCAUCCAUAGACACUUCCAGCACCGAGAGAAUGAGACGAGGAGCACCAGGCAUUUGCAGUCAGUGCCUCAUGUUUCAGCAGUGCACUGGGCACUGCCCUGUGCCCACCCCUGGCUGCGGUAGAUGGCAGCGAGCUUCUGGGCAUGCACUUGGGUGGUGGUUCAUAAGGACCACAGGAAACAAGGAAAAUUAUAAAGCGAAUGGGGGGGGGAGGGAUAAAGGCAAACAAGCCUCCUUCACAAAUUCAUUUUCUCCAAAUUUAUUUCCUUUUCAUUUAACUCGGUUGAGAAAUGUCCCCCCGGACUUCAUCAGAAAAUCAAUCUCCCCAUUUAAAGUUCUAAAUGCAGUUCUAAGCAGCUCUGAUAUGCAAAGCGGCGUGAGAAAUCCAAACCCUCAUCAGACAAUCUGCACGUUGUUUGGAGCCACCGCUGCAGGUGAAGUCAGCAUCACUUCUCUCCAGACCAAACUCUGUGGGCUGAAUUGAGCCGAUGCUGCCCAGUUCCUGUGGCAAUUCCUGUAGCUGGGCUUCGGUAUGCAUAAACUCUCCACAUUUAGGAUAUUACCCUUCACAGAGCAGCUUAAUAUUUCAACAGGCCUUUUUAAUUUCGUAGCGCAAAUCACCUUUUACCCUUUGCCACACAGUUAUGCGCCGGGUAGCGCAGUGCGCCCAUAUACCCACUGUUUAGCUGGUUUUAUACUGCUGGUUUGCAACUAACUGUCUGUACUUUGUUUCAAUAUUAAAAACUGUCUGCUGUAUGGUAGCUCUGAGAUCAUGUUCCCAAACCGCUCUCAGUUCCUGCUGCCUUUCUGUGCUAUCUAUCCUGGAAAUGGGAAUCUUUAUUCCAUAGGCUCAUAAGAGGGUAAAUAUACAUUUUCUAAUUCUAGGAGAUAUAUUCAAAAGAAAAACAAACAGCAGAUUCUGAUGUUAUAGUUCUCAUAUUUAGCCUGUAUUUUCUAGAACGUUACUUUUUAGUUGUUUUAAAAGUUGUACUAACUGUAAUCUAGGGAGACGUUACCUUCAUUUUGAAGCAUCAACCAAACACCAUAAUAUAAAUGAUGCAUAUUUGUUAUCUUUAAUUGUAUAUAUAUAAAAUAAAUAAAUAAUAACUGGGUAGUAUGGAGCAGUAUAUUUUCUAUACUGUCUCUGAGUUAUCAGUUGAUACAAGACAGUGCUACCAGUACGAUAGAUGUUCAAACUGCAAAUGUUUGGCACCAGGUAAAAAGUCUGUGGAGGGAUGGAACAACAUUGACUGCAGUUUGCUGGAUCAGCUCACCUUGUAGUAUGUCUGGGAGCUGAAUUUUACCCACAUACACAUGUAUAUCACCCAUUAAUACCCAUAGGCUGGAAGGCUGCCCUUCUAGAGAGAGAAAUCUCAGCAUCUCUAAUGAGCGGCCAAUUCCCACAUCCUGUGGCAUCUCCAAAUGAUAUUUGGCAGAGAUCUGCCUUUAUGGGAGUUGUAUUGAUGGAGUUUUCUCUCCAAGCAGAGCAGCACUGGCAAUAUGCAGGGGAUGAAUUUCUCUUCUAAUACAUUUUCCUUUCAGGAGUGAAGACAGUUUUGGCCAGCGAACCAACUACUUCAUCUGUGAGUGAAAAGCCCUGAAGUUACACUUUCUUUCUGUCUUUUGCAACCACUUUCUACAUGACUGCCAAUAUCAAUGGAAGCCAACAAUUCACCACUUAAAGCGCAGAGAGGGGGGAAAAGAUCAGUCCUCUACAAUUUAGUCUUUUCUUUCUUUCCUGGGGAAAAAAUAAGAAGUUGCCACAUCAUAAAGGAAUGAUAGAACUGCCCAAAGUAACAAUGGUAUGAACCGUUAAUUAUUUCAGGCAGUCCCUCCAGCAAGCAGUGACAGUCCCAGGCUGGGUCCCCUGGUUGGAACUCACACUCCUUCCAGCAACAGAUUUCCUUGGUGAGCAUCAGAUCAGGUUCUUAAGGACCUCCCAAGCCACUCUCCUGAAUAUAAGUACUCAAUAGCACUGCUGGAAGAACACAAGAAAUUGAUAAAUAAAUAAGAACUCAGAAUAUAUGCAAAUUUACAGGCAUUAGAGGGAUUUAUUCUGUGCAUGAAUAAGGCCAAAGUGCAGCUGUAAAUAUGAGUAAGUUUAUUUGGUUUUUUGCAAUCACAUUGGCUUUAGUUCUUAGCUCAGCUAAUGGCAAUUCCUAACACCAACAGUGAAU